UACGUAGGUGGCAAGCGUUGUCCGGAAUUAUUGGGCGUAAAGCGCGCGCAGGCGGUCCUUUAAGUCUGAUGUGAAAGCCCACGGCUCAACCGUGGAGGUCAUUGGAAACUGGGGGACUUGAGUGCAGAAGAGGAAAGCGGAAUUCCACGUGUAGCGGUGAAAUGCGUAGAGAUGUGGAGGAACACCAGUGGCGAAGGCGGCUUUCUGGUCUGUAACUGACGCUGGAGGCGCGAAAGCGUGGGGGAGAAACAGG
rnacentral:rRNA from 1 species